AUAAUUAUAAGAAAAACUAAUUAUGGAUGAAAAGUUGAAAAGCAAAGUCACUGACUUUUUAAACUAUAUAUGCAGGUUUAUCCAGACCUAAACAUCUUUUUUCAAUAGAAAAGAGAAAUAGGAUUGAUAAAGAUAUUAGUGAUCAUGUAUUUAAAUAUCUGAAGUUUUUGGCCAUGUAAAAGUAAUUGAAAAAAUCGCAUAUUUUCUCAAGUGGUCAUAUUCUCCUGGUUCGAACACGGAGAUUUGGUUUCGGAAUGAAACCCCAAACGAAAAAAGUGAUUUAAUUAACCGGUAUUAAGCACAGAAAACUGAUCUCUAAAGAGAUGAACGAGAUUCAAGUUUCAUAAUAAAUAUAAAAGCGGCUUU